AACGUAGGGUGCAAACGUUGUUCGGAAUUACUGGGUGUAAAGCGCGUGUAGGCGGCUAAGUGUGUCGAUUGUGAAAGCCCCCGGCUCAACCGGGGAAAGUCGAUCGAAACUGCUUGGCUAGAGUACGGGAGAGGGGGAUGGAAUUCCAGGUGUAGAGGUGAAAUUCGUAGAUAUCUGGAGGAACACCGAUAGCGAAGGCAGUCCCCGGGACCGUUUCUGACGCUGAGCCGCGAAAGCGUGGGGAGCAAACAGG
rnacentral:rRNA from 1 species